rnacentral:rRNA from 1 species
UACGUAGGGGGCAAGCGUUGUCCGGAUUUAUUGGGCGUAAAGAGCGUGUAGGCGGCCAUACAGGUCAGCUGUGAAAACUCGAGGCUCAACCUCGAGACGUCGGUUGAAACCGUAUGGCUAGAGUCCGGAAGAGGAGAGUGGAAUUCUCGGUGUAGCGGUGAAAUGCGCAGAUAUCUGGAGGAACACCGGUGGCGAAGGCGGCAUCCUGGACCGGCAUUGACACUGAAAAGCGAAAGCCAGGGGAGCAAACGGG